rnacentral:rRNA from 1 species
UACGUACCGUACGAACGUUAUUCGGAAUCACUGGGCUUAAAGAGUCCGUAGGCGGCCCAAAAGGUGAGGUGUGAAAUCCCACGGCUUAACCGUGGAACUGCGCUUCAAACCAUUGGGCUAGAGGGAGAUAGAGGAAAGCGGAACUGAUGGUGGAGCGGUGAAAUGCGUUGAUAUCAUCAGGAACACCGGUGGCGAAAGCGGCUUUCUGGGUCUCUACUGACGCUGAGGGACGAAAGCUAGGGGAGCGAACGGG